rnacentral:rRNA from 1 species
AACGAACGCUGGCGGCAGGCCUAACACAUGCAAGUCGAGCGAGGACUUCGGUCCUAGCGGCGGACGGGUGAGUAACGCGUGGGAAUAUGCCCUUUGGUACGGAAUAGCCUCGGGAAACUGAGAGUAAUACCGUAUGUGCCCUUCGGGGGAAAGAUUUAUCGCCAAAGGAUUAGCCCGCGUUGGAUUAGGUAGUUGGUGGGGUAAUGGCCUACCAAGCCUACGAUCCAUAGCUGGUUUGAGAGGAUGAUCAGCCACACUGGGACUGAGACACGGCCCAGACUCCUACGGGAGGCAGCAGUGGGGAAUCUUAGACAAUGGGGGCAACCCUGAUCUAGCCAUGCCGCGUGAGUAAUGAAGGCCUUAGGGUUGUAAAGCUCUUUCAGCUGGGAAGAUAAUGACGGUACCAGCAGAAGAAGCCCCGGCUAACUCCGUGCCAGCCGCCGCCGUAAAAC